rnacentral:rRNA from 1 species
CCGUGAAGGAUUAAGGCCCUCUGGGUUGUAAACUUCUUUUCUUUGGGAAUAAAAAGCGGUAUUCUUAUCGCCUUGAAGGUACCAGAGGAAUAAGCACCGGCUAACUCCGUGC